rnacentral:rRNA from 1 species
CAGCCGCCGCGGUAACACGUAGGGUGCAAGCGUUAAUCGGAAUUACUGGGCGCAAAGCGUGCGCAGGCGGUUUGUUAAGACAGAUGUGAAAUCCCCGGGCUCAACCUGGGAACUGCAUUUGUGACUGGCAGGCUAGAGUAUGGCAGAGGGGGGUGGAAUUCCGCGUGUAGCAGUGAAAUGCGUAGAUAUGCGGAGGAACACCGAUGGCGAAGGCAGCCCCCUGGGCCAAUACUGACGCUCAGGUGCGAAAGCGUGGGGAGCAAACAGGAUUAGAUACCCCAGUAGUCCCUGUCUCUUAUAC